rnacentral:lncRNA from 1 species
GUGGGCUACUGAGAUCCCCCUGCUGCUGCAGUGCCUUGAAGGGAAAGAGGAGAGCUUCCCAGACACUGCAGAGUUCGAGCACCGUCUGCUAAAGUUCCUGAGGGCGUCGCUGGACACCAUAGAAGAUGAGGCCUGGACCGAGGCCCUGAGCUGUGAGCUGAGCCAGCGGCUGAGCAGCUCUGCCAGCAGCUCUGGAGAAAAGUCUUUCCUGUACAAGGCUCUGGGCACAGUGCUGGGAGCCUGUAAGGGAGACCUCUUCAUCCAGGAGAAGCUGCUGC